GGAUCAAUUUUGUCGGUCGUGCCAUUUGGUACGUACUGGUAUUAUUGAUUUCUAUCUUCUGAAGAACCUUGAUGUCAUUAAUUUGAUGUCUUGGGAAAUCAGGACUGUUACCUUGAAAAAAUUAGAGUGUUUAAAGCAGGCAUGCGCUUGAAUACAUUAGCAUGGAAUAAUGAAAUAGGAUGUUCGAUUCUAUUUUGUUGGUUUCUAGGAUUGACGUA
rnacentral:rRNA from 1 species